GGCUGUCACCCCACUGUCACCCUCCUGUCACCCCACCAUUCACACGGCUGUCACCCUGCUGUCACCCCGCUGUCACCCUCCUGUCACCCCACUGUCACCCUCCUGUCACCCCACCAUCUCACUCCUGUCACCCUCCGGUCACCCCACCGUCACCUCCACUGUCCCCCCCCUGCUGUCACAGUUCCAGCCCAGCACCCCCACACCUCAACCCCACGCCUUACGGGGCAGCCCCACGCGCUAUGGGGCAGCCCCACGCGCUAUGGGGCAGCCCCACGCGCUAUGGGGCAGCCCCACUCACCGCGUGUGCAGGUGGAGGUGGUGGUUGACAAACUCCACGUCCUGGGAGUACAGCCCAUAGUCGGGGAUCUUCACGAAGAAAUUGGGGAGCUGGGGGGGGGGGGGCACAGCGUCCCCGUUGUGUCACCGUUGUGUCACCCGGCGGGCGAGCUGUCACCCGAACCCUGCCCAUUUGUCACCUCCAAGGUGCCCAUUUGUCACCUGAACUCAUUGCUGUCACCUUCAGCAUGUCACCCCGACUCUGUCACCUCCAGGGCGCCCAUUUGUCACCCGAACUCUGUCCCUGUCACCUCCAAGGUGCCCAUUUGUCACCUGAACUCAUUGCUGUCACCUUCAGCAUGUCACCCCGACUCUGUCACCUCCAGGGUGCACAUUUGUCACCCGAACUCUGUCCCUGUCACCCACAGGGUGUGCGGUUGUCACCCCAACUCUGUCCCUGUCACUUGCAGGGGAAGUUGUCACCCCAACUUGGUCCCUGUCACCUGUGGGGUGAGCUGUCACCUCAACUCUGUCCCUGUCACCCCCCCCGGGCUCACACUUGUCACCCCAACUCUGUCCCCGUCACCUCCAGGGCACCCAUUUGUCACCCAAACACCCGGGUGUCCCACACCGGGACCCCUCCACCCACCCCGACACUUCCUUUACCCUUUCAG
rnacentral:lncRNA from 1 species